rnacentral:tRNA from 1 species
GGGGAUAUAGAUCAGUUGGUAGAGUGCUUGCCUCACAUGCAAAGCCCUGGGUUCAAUCCCCGGCAUCACCA